rnacentral:tRNA from 1 species
GCGCCCGUAGCUCAGCUGGAUAGAGCAUCUGCCUUCUAAGCAGGUGGUCGUGGGUUCGACUCCCGCCGGGCGCGCCA